rnacentral:rRNA from 1 species
GAUGAACGCUGGCGGCGUGCCUAAUACAUGCAAGUCGAGCGAACAGACGAGGAGCUUGCUCCUCUGACGUUAGCGGCGGACGGGGGAGUAACACGUGGAUAACCUACCUAUAAGACUGGGAUAACUUCGGGAAACCGGAGCUAAUACCGGAUAACAUGUUGAACCGCAUGGUUCAACAGUGAAAGACGGUCUUUCUGUCACUUAUAGAUGGAUCCGCGCCGCAUUAGCUAGUUGGUAAGGUAACGGCUUACCAAGGCAACGAUGCGUAGCCGACCUGAGAGGGUGAUCGGCCACACUGGAACUGAGACACGGUCCAGACUCCUACGGGAGGCAGCAGUAGGGAAUCUUCCGCAAUGGGCGAAAGCCUGACGGAGCAACGCCGCGUGAGUGAAGAAGGUCUUCGGAUCGUAAAACUCUGUUAUUAGGGAAGAACAAAUGUGUAAGUAACUAUGCACGUCUUGACGGUACCUAAUCAGAAAGCCACGGCUAACUACGUG